GCCAGAGUGGCGGAAAGGCAGACGCGCCGGUCUCAAAAACCGGUGGGCAAUCAGCCCUUGUGGGUUCGAAUCCCACCUCUGGCACCA
rnacentral:tRNA from 1 species